rnacentral:rRNA from 1 species
AGUGAACGCUGGCGGUAGGCCUAACACAUGCAAGUCGAACGGCAGCACAGUAAGAGCUUGCUCUUACGGGUGGCGAGUGGCGGACGGGUGAGGAAUACAUCGGAAUCUACUUUUUCGUGGGGGAUAACGUAGGGAAACUUACGCUAAUACCGCAUACGACCUACGGGUGAAAGCAGGGGAUCUUCGGACCUUGCGCGAUUGAAUGAGCCGAUGUCGGAUUAGCUAGUUGGCGGGGUAAAGGCCCACCAAGGCGACGAUCCGUAGCUGGUCUGAGAGGAUGAUCAGCCACACUGGAACUGAGACACGGUCCAGACUCCUACGGGAGGCAGCAGUGGGGAAUAUUGGACAAUGGGCGCAAGCCUGAUCCAGCCAUACCGCGUGGGUCAAGAAGGCCUUCGGGUUGUAAAGCCCCUUUGUUGGGAAAGAAAAGCAGCAGGUUAAUACCCCGCUGUUCUGACGGUACCCAAAGAAUAAGCACCGGCUAACUUCGUG